UACGGAGGGUGCGAGCGUUAAUCGGAAUUACUGGGCGUAAAGCGUGCGUAGGCGGAUUGUUAAGCGAGAUGUGAAAGCCCCAGGCUCAACCUGGGAACUGCAUUUCGAACUGGCAGUCUAGAGUUUUGUAGAGGGCGGUGGAAUUUCCAGUGUAGCGGUGAAAUGCGUAGAGAUUGGAAGGAACAUCAGUGGCGAAGGCGGCCACCUGGACAAAAACUGACGCUGAGGCACGAAAGCGUGGGGAGCAAACAGG
rnacentral:rRNA from 1 species